rnacentral:rRNA from 1 species
CAGUCGCCGCGGGAAUACGGAGGGGGCUAGCGUUGUUCGGAUUUACUGGGCGUAAAGCGCACGUAGGCGGACUUUUAAGUCAGGGGUGAAAUCCCGGGGCUCAACCCCGGAACUGCCUUUGAUACUGGAAGUCUUGAGUAUGGUAGAGGUGAGUGGAAUUCCGAGUGUAGAGGUGAAAUUCGUAGAUAUUCGGAGGGACACCAGUGGCGAAGGCGGCUCACUGGACCAUUACUGACGCUGAGGUGCGAAAGCGUGGGGAGCAAACAGGAUUAGAUACCCCCGUAGUCCCUGUCUCUUAUAA